CAUGGCUCAGAUUGAACGCUGGCGGCAGGCUUAACACAUGCAAGUCGAGCGGGGGAGGUUGCUUCGGUAACUGACCUAGCGGCGGACGGGUGAGUAAUACUUAGGAAUCUGCCUAUUAAUGGGGGACAACAUCUCGAAAGGGAUGCUAAUACCGCAUACGCCCUACGGGGGAAAGCAGGGGAUCACUUGUGACCUUGCGUUAAUAGAUGAGCCUAAGUCGGAUUAGCUAGUUGGUGGGGUAAAGGCCUACCAAGGCGACGAUCUGUAGCGGGUCUGAGAGGAUGAUCCGCCACACUGGGACUGAGACACGGCCCAGACUCCUACGG
rnacentral:rRNA from 1 species